rnacentral:siRNA from 1 species
GAAGGUAAGGGAUCCUAGACUU